rnacentral:rRNA from 1 species
GGAGGGGGCGAGCGUUAUUCGGAAUUAUUGGGCGUAAAGGGCGCGUAGGUGGCUUGGUAAGUCAAAGGUGAAAUCCCUCGGCUCAACUGAGGAACUGCCUUUGAAACUGCCUGGCUUGAGGCCGGGAGGGGGUAGCGGAAUUCCCAGUGUAGCGGUGAAAUGCGUAGAUAUUGGGAGGAACACCAGUGGCGAAGGCGGCUACCUGGACCGGUUCUGACGCUGAUGCGCGAAAGCGUGGGGAGCAAACAGGAUUAGAUACCCUGGUAGUCCACGCUGUAAACGAUGGGUGCUCGGUGUCGCGGGUAUCGACCCCUGCGGUGCCUUAGCUAACGCGUUAAGCACCCCGCCUGGGGAGUACGGUCGCAAGGCUG